CCUACGGGUGGCAGCAGUGAGGAAUAUUGGUCAAUGGCCGGAAGGCUGAACCAGCCAUGCCGCGUGAAGGUCAGUGCCCUAUGGGCGUUAAACUUCUUUUGUGCGGGAGCAAUAAUGGUCACGUGUGGCCAGACGAGAGUACCGGAAGAAUAAGAAUCGGCUAACUCCGUGCCAGCAGCCGCGGUAAUACGGGGGAUGCAUGCGUUGUCCGGAUUUAUUGGGUUUAAAGGGGGCGUAGGCUGUGAGGUAAGUCAGGGGUGAAAUGCCACCGUUCAACGGGGUGAAGUGCCAUGGAUACUGCCGUGCUGGAAUGCGGAUGCCGUGGGAGGAAUGUGUGGUGUAGCGGUGAAAUGCAUAGAUAUCACACAGAACACCGAUUGCGAAGGCAUCUCACGAAUCCGCGAUUGACGCUGAUGCACGAAAGCGUGGGUAUCAAACAGGAUUAGAUACCCGGGUAGUC
rnacentral:rRNA from 1 species